rnacentral:rRNA from 1 species
AGCUCCAAUAGCAUAUGUUAAUGUUGUUGCGGUUAAAAAGCUCGUAGUUGGAUCUCGGCGGCCCGGGGGCGGUUCGCUCUUUGGCGUGACUGCCCCACUGGGCCGUGUUUUCGGCGGAGGUCGCGGGGUGCUCUUGACCGAGUGUCCCUCGGCGCCGUCGGGUUUACUUUGAAAAAAUUAGAGUGCUCCAGGCAGGCCUGACACGCUUGAAUAGCCGUGCAUGGAAUAAUGGAAUAGGACGUCGUUUCUAUUUUGUUGGUUUUCGGAAAUCGACGUAAUGAUUGAUAGGGACAGUCGGGGGCGUUAGUAUUCAGGCGACAGAGGUGAAAUUCUUGGACCGUCUGAAGACUCACUGCUGCGAAAGCGUUCGCCAAGAAUGUUUUCAU